AUAAUUAAAAAUAGAAUUCUAAAAUCAUAUCUUAUAUAAGGCUUGUUUGGUAUAUAAUUUUCCAUAUAGCAAGAUCGACUUUUGCUUUCUAGCUAAUGGCUUUGCUCACAUUUGCAUCUCCCCAAUUUACUUUUAAAGAAAAGCUUAUUUUGGAAGAAAGAUAUUUAUCUCGAGUAAUAUGGACCUCUAGUUUCCCUCGUCCAACUCUAUGCAAG
rnacentral:lncRNA from 1 species